rnacentral:rRNA from 1 species
UACGUAGGGUGCAAGCGUUAAUCGGAAUUACUGGGCGUAAAGCGUGCGCAGGCGGUUUUGUAAGUCUGUCGUGAAAUCCCCGGGCUCAACCUGGGAACUGCAUCUGUGACUGCAUCGCUGGAGUGCGGCAGAGGGGGAUGGAAUUCCGCGUGUAGCAGUGAAAUGCGUAGAGAAUGUGGAGGAACACCGAUGGCGAAGGCAGCCCCCUGGGUCAAGAUUGACGCUCAUGCACGAAAGCGUGGGGAGCAAACAGG